ensembl:misc_RNA 7SK 7SK RNA
AGAUGUGAGGGCGAUCUGGCUGCAACAUCUGUCACGCCACUGAUAACCAGGGUUGGUUCGGCUGAUCUGGACGGCUACACGGGCGUCCCCUUCCUCCCUCACAGCUCCAUGUGCGUCCUUCCCGAAGCUGCGCGCUCGGUGGAAGAGGACGAGCUUCCCUGUUAGAGGAGGACCGUUCUUCGGUCAAGGGUAUACGAGUAGCUGUGCUCUCCGCUAGAACUUCCGGACAAGCUCUCAAGGUCCCUUUGUAGGAGAACAGAGGGUAGUCAAGCUUCCAAGACUCCAGACACAUCCAAAGCGAGGUGCUGCAUGUGGCCCUUCUGCCUUUCUU